CCAGCGCCCCCAGGGACCUCAUCGACACCUACCUGCUCCACAUGGAAAAAGAGAAAUCCAACCCACACAGUGAAUUCAGCCACCAGAACCUCAUCAUCAACACGCUCUCGCUCUUCUUUGCUGGCACUGAGACCACCAGCACCACUCUCCGCUACGGCUUCCUGCUCAUGCUCAAAUACCCUCAUGUCGCAGAGAGAGUCUACAAGGAGAUUGAACAGGUGGUUGGCCCACAUCGCCCUCCAGCGCUUGAUGACCGAGCCAAAAUGCCAUACACAGAGGCAGUCAUCCGUGAGAUUCAGAGAUUUGCUGACCUUCUCCCCAUGGGUGUGCCCCACAUUGUCACCCAACACACCAGCUUCUGAGGGUACACCAUCCCCAAGGACACGGAAGUAUUUCUCAUCCUGAGCACUGCUCUCCGUGACCCACACUACUUUGAAAAACCAGACGCCUUCAAUCCUGACCACUUUCUGGAUGCCAAUGGGGCACUGAAAAAGAAUGAAGCUUUUAUCCCCUUCUCCUUAGGUAAGCUGGACCCACAGUUUCUUUCCCAGACACCAGAGGGCAGGUCCUAUCCUCAACUUGAGAAAAAAAAUGACAGGUCCUUAUUAAUUGAGCACUUAAUAUAUUCCAAUUGCUUCACCUGCCUUAUCCCCUUCCA
ensembl:lncRNA CYP2B7P cytochrome P450 family 2 subfamily B member 7, pseudogene